GGUUGACCUCGGAUCAGGCCAGGGAUACCCGCUGAACCUUAGCAUAUCAAUAAGCGGAGGA
rnacentral:rRNA from 1 species